rnacentral:lncRNA from 1 species
CUCCCCACGUGUGCAAGGACGCCCUGGGUCAAAGUCACAGUACUGGAAUCUGAGCACGCGUCCGUCUGUGGCAAGAGAGAAGCACAGAUGAAGCACAUGCUUUGCUCCUGCACCGCUCCCACGCCUCCGCACUCCAGAACUGAUCCUUGGCAGCCCGACUGGAGAGCAGUGGUGCGAUCUUGGCUCACUGCAACUUCGCCUCCUGGGUUCAAGCCAUUCUCCUGUCUCAGCCUCCCAAGUAGCUGGGAUUACAGGCAUGUGCCACCACGCCUGGCUGAUUUUUGAAUUUUUACUAGAGAUGGGGUUUUACCAUGUUGGCCAGGCUGGUCUCGAAUGCCUGACCUCAAGUGAUUUGUCCGCCUCGGCCUCCCAAGUGCUGGGAUUACAGGCGUGAGCCACCACUCCCGGCCCACAUGUAAGAUCAUUUUCUUACUUUCAUGAAAUCUCUCUUCUGUGUACAACAUCACUGAACUAAUUUGUCUUGAUAUGUUUGCACUGAUUCAGAUAUAAUAUGUAUAAAAGCAGUGAAACUUUAAAAACAAGGGUAUUAUAUUCUAGACAAUCUCCA